AGAAUUCUAUCACAAUUGCAGUUAAUUUAUUUUUAAAAAUAGUGCGUGUUUGUUUUUUAUUAAUGUCAAAAUGUUUGAUUAUAAUGCAAAACAGGAGUAACUUUUUGAUUUUUUCAUUAAAGAGGAAUAAAAUUUUAAUAUAAAAUGUUUGGACAAGACAGGAAAAGAUUUUUUAAAUCGCGACAGAGUUGAGAGACACGGUGUUUAAAAAAGUUGAAAUUAUCUGAUGACAAUAUUUCGCAGGAAGAAUCUUCAUCUGUUAAUAGCUGCCACUACGAUUACCAAGAUUGUGAUAAAAUUACAUAUGAAGAUUUUGAUGAUGCUGAUGAUGCAGAUGAUGAUGACGAUGAUUAUGUAUCUUGCGACGAAGAGGAGCAGUUUGAAGACGCUGAAGACAAUUUAUUUUUGGAUUUUGAAGACAUUUAUGGGGAUGAGUCGGAAAGCGAGAAUACUGACGAAGAAAUAAUUGACGAUUUUGAAUAUUCAGAUGAUGAACUUGACGUAAAUGAUAAAUCUCCCGAAAUGGAUAUAGUUUCCGAAAUAAGAAUGUGGGCCCAAGGUGGUCAAGUACCAUUGACGAAAGUUGAUGAAAUUCUUAAGAUUUUAAGAAAAAAUGUGCUACCUCAAUUACCAGCAUCUUCUAAAACGUUGUUAAGAACCUCUUCAGCUAAAUAUGUUAUAACGGAAAUGGAAGAUAAGGAUGGAGG